rnacentral:rRNA from 1 species
UACGGGGGGGGCAAGCGUUGUUCGGAAUUACUGGGCGUAAAGGGCUCGUAGGCGGCCAACUAAGUCGGAUGUGAAAUCCCCAGGCUUAACCUGGGAACUGCAUCCGAUACUGGAUGGCUUGAAUCCGGGAGAGGGAUGCAGAAUUCCAGGUGUAGCGGUGAAAUGCGUAGAUAUCUGGAGGAAUACCGGUGGCGAAGGCGGCAUCCUGGACCGGCAUUGACGCUGAGACGCGAAAGCGUGGGGAGCGAACAGG